CUUAUUCGACGAUCGAUAUUCCUUAAUUGCUAUUAACAUUAAACCUUACAACCUUAUUAUCAUUCAAUAUUAGGUGAAAAGUAAAGAAAUUAUUAUAACUCUCUGUACUAUUACAGGAUGAUAAUAUUAAAAUAAGAUACAAACAGGAUAAAACUUCAGCCAUGUUAACCAUUAAGGAUUAAGUUUGAAAUAUAAAGAAACAUUAGGAACUCAUGGAAGAUAUAUCAAAGAAACUUUAGGAACUUACAGCAGAUUUAUCAAAUUAAUUGACAGCGUUAAAUUUUAGUCUUAGAAAAAAGAUGCUUCACGAGCUUGAGGCACGAGUGAUCUCUCGCAAAACGAGAAAGAAGAAAUUAGAAAAAUGAAGGGGAUUUAGUUAAGAAAGAUGGGUUUCUCAUCUAAAAUGAACUGACGUCUUAAUCCUGCUCAUAUAGGGACUUUAAAGGGAUACCUGUCAACAUUUCGAUAUACGUUAGAUUUUAAAGAUUUAUUACAUAGAAGAAGAUUAAAAUAUACACCUGGUAACCUCGUAGAGAAGUAUUACUCUUCUUCUAACUUCUGGCUGAUGCAACUUCUCGGACGAAAGUCGCGAGGAUCUAACGUAGUUCCAAAUUGUUUUAGAUCCUAACAAGAUUAACUCGACUCCGAAAUGUUAAAUAACCUAAACCUUUUUGCGUAUCUCCUUGAAGCGCGUUCUUCGUAUAUUAGAUCUGGCACCGUUCGGCAAAAUGUUGACACUUGACAUGUGAAAAAUUCGUAACAAUAGGCCACAAGACACGGUUAUGAAAGGUAAUUUUACGGAAAUAGCACGGUAACAACUGCGUAAUCUCGUUUUCAUUUCCGCCCAGCGUCAACCGUAAAGUUUGUGUAUUUCUAACUGAUUACGUUGAACUGCAAAACUGUGGCACAUACACCGAAAACACGUAAGAGACUCGGUACCGUUAUCGCGAUUCUAUUGCGCUACGCACUACCAAUACCCACCUACAGAAGGCUGCAGUUUUAUCUUAUCACACGGUGCAACACACCGAAAGGUUUAAUCGUUUCACUGUUCGUGGAAAGGUUUAAUUGUUAGAGAAUGAUAGAAACUAUCGUAACACAGCGUACAGAUACUGUGGAAUAAUAAAGAAAAAUGGUAAAACCGCUUCGAGAAGCGUGGCUGAUUUAAGGUACUUUUUCUGUCUUGCAAUUAUCGCAUCGUUUUCGUAACUAAUCUACGACCAAGUAUAUUCGAUAGUGCAAGUUUUUAUAGGAAAUACGAACGUAAUGAAUUAUAUUACCAAUCUAUUAUCGAUUAGUUUGAUAGGAUUUUUAAGACGAAAUCAGUUUAUUCAUGAGAAAAAUUGUCGUAAUUUUGAGAAUCACAAAAAUAAAUAUUUUAUAAGAAACACUAAUAACACCAUUACGAAUGAUUGGGAUAUUUAAGAUCUGAAAUUGAGGGCCUUUCUAAAGAAGAGUCUAUAGAUCUAUGAUAAGUGUAUGUAUAGACGUUGUGUAAUUACUAGUUAAAUACUUACAUCAUUAUGAAAUGCUUAUUUAACGAAAUUCUUCGAGAGUCAUUACAAUUAUCAGUUAUCGACUCAAACGUAAUUAGUAUUAGAAAGUCGAAACUGAAUCGUCAAAUGAGAUUUACUCGAUUCACAAUUUAGUCGUCCAAACCCAUUUUCCACAAUGUUCCUUUAUUUACAGUACUAUAUUCGAUGACUUUCCUGAAUCUCUCCCAAGCCACGCCGUUAAAGGAUCAACUAGAGAAAUCAUUGGAAAUGGAGCAAAGUCAACUACAAUACCUACUCGGCAACAGUUCUACUGACCUAGACUGAUCUAAUCCCAGCUGGAACAACGUAGGCUUGUUAAAAGUUAGGUAAAAUCAAUCAAGACGACGAGCUGACUCGGUUGAAGUCUCAUUGAUCCACCUAGAUCUAAUCCAUGUCUAACCUGAACUCUCGAAGGAUCUAAACCAGAUCUAACUUGCAACGAGUUCCAGGAACACUUACGGAGUUCAAACAGCUCCGAUUGACUUGGUAUAUACAUGUCAUGAUGAUUGGGGCUUUAAGAGAUUAGUAAAAUCUAAUUUAAUGGAGAUUCGUGUUCGGUAUACGUGGUUCACUAUCAGACAAUGCGAGUUUGGUUAUCUCAAUUAAUUUUAAUGAAUUUCAAUAAACUAUGUACAUACAUAUAAAUCUUUAUACAUAUAUCCUUCGAUAUCAAAGAGGAUUAAAAAGUCGCUGAGUUUUUUUUGAUAGUAUAUCUAGUAUUAAAUAGUUUCUUUCGAAUAUUAAUGUGUAGCAAAUUAGAAUAAUAUUGAGAAUUACGAUGGUUUUCAACUUAAUUAAUAGGAUACCAAUUAAUGGAUAUAUUCAAUUGGAUCGAUAUAGUCUGUUAAGUGUUUGUGUGGAUUACACAAGACUCGUCGUUAUAAACUGGAUUUUGACCAGAUCAGCGAAUCGACCAGUCUUUCCCUAGCAUUUACAUGUGUCAAAUGGUUUAUUUGUAUAGAAGUCUGUAAAUUAUCGCUACGGCAAUUAUCGUAACCAUGUACAAACAUGGUACAUGUUACAUGUACAUGUAAAUUAUAGUGAUGAACAGAUAUAGCGACGAACUGAAAUGGACUUAUACCAAAUUCAACUUUAUUAAUUUAGUUGAUGUAACAUUCGAAAUAAAAAUGUGAAAGUCAUCUUAUAUCUAUAGUGCUUCAAAACACAGAAAAUGUACCUUCAAAUCUCAUAUUAUAGAAGAAAAUAGAAAUAUCCUAUACGUUUCAUAAUAAAAAUAGUCGAAUUUACGUUAAGUGUAUACCCCUGUUAUAUUAUAUGAAGAUCAGACGAAACAACAUGAUAAACGAUCUUCAAAUUCAAUAGUCAAUCUCAUCUUAUCAAAACCUAUUAAGGAAGAUCGAAAUAAAAAAUACUAACACAAAUAUAUUUGUAGACGUCUUUCGCAUAUGUUCUUCGUGUCGUAUAAAUAAAGAAAAGAAAUAUACAAUAGAAUCCGAAUUCUUUUGUUUAAAGAUUUUUCCUUAAGCAGAAAUCAACCACGACUCUUACCAUUUUCGCUAUUACGUACGUAUGUUAUCUACAAAGAUAGACAUUCUGUCUUACACACAUAUAGAGCCAAAGUGUCGAGAUUCUAAGUGUAAAGACGCUAUUCAUUUCACUAUUAACAGCAGGUGUGACAUUCUUGCUUACAUGGAUGCACCUCUCUGACUUUGACUUUAUACGUUCCCUUGACACAGUCUGAAUCAGGUUAUUGUGAAGGCGUAACGGAGCGUUGCUUUUAAGCGACUUCUGAUGUUCCCUCUGACAACUGAUGCAUUCUUGUUUAAUUUCCUGCAUGGAUGGCAACGGCCACCAGAUGAUAUCAUUCCCAUUUUCUACGACCAAUAGCAUGAAAAUAUCAUUUCACUAGAUAUUACCAGAGGGACGAAUAAAAUCGUGUUUUAAUCAUAGAUAACGAAUGAGAGCGAUGAGGGACGACGAUUGAUUGCGAUGGAGGAACAGAUUUUCACGUAAAUGAUAUUGAACAGUUUUUUUAUACGUAGAAAAUCCGUAACUUUAAUCCCAACGAAAUAACAAUGAAAUACGUAAUAGGUUCGUGGAAAGUUCAAUUCGAAGUACAUAUUUAUUUCCUACGUGUUUCGUGCAUUAUUUUCUCAUUAAUGGAAGAAAAUUAUGCAAAAUAUAAUCUGCCGAACACGCAUGUAUCGACCUCUAAAUUAUUCAUUACAUAUUCCAUUAAAAUAAUAAUAAUUUUGAUGGCGAUGUUCGAUUUACAUUAUUCUCCAGAACCAUUACCUCUGAGAAACAAAACAUAAUUAUUAUACUCGAUAUAAUAAUUAUAAUAAAUUUAAUAAAGUGUAGUUCUUCGAAAAGUAUUUACGUAACUUUUAAUAAAUAUAUCGUACAUACCAAUAAUUCUAAAUCGAGAUAUUUUAAUAAAGUUAUUAACGUAAUAUGAUCUUAUCCAUAAGUUACACGAAUACUUCAGCAUGUCUGGCUAUAGUUGAGAUAAAAUCGGUCGUAUUUCUGAAAUACGCCCAGCCUACGUAGCUCGCCAUUCGAACAGAACGCUUGCCUUCCACACACUACCCAUCCUUUGUUAACGCACAAACGCGCAAUAACAGGAAAUACGCAUUCACGGCUCUUAUGCAUUAUUACGCAACAAUUUGCAACCUAUAUGGGCCAUCGUGGGUAAUCUCGAAUUGUUUCAAUUGUGUCACGGUACAACGCACUGUAGUCGGUUAAUUCCUCGCUUGUCAACAUUGAAAAAUUCUAAGAAUGGAAUAGUAUGAAACAACGUGAAAUACAAAGAAGCUGAAUACGAAAAUUGAGAAUAUAGGAAUAUUGUAAAGAAUAAUUUACGAUAAAAGCUUCCAUCUCAACCUCAGUUCGAAAGACAGAAUAACACGAGCUUUGAUACAAAUUCAUGUACUGCAGUUCACAGAAGGAUAGUUUCAUCUCCAUUAAAGAAAGAAGCAUAAUACGGAUAAAAAGAAACAAAACUAUUCUUUAAUACAUAAACUUGGAAAAGAAACAAAAAUAUUCAUGAAAGAAUACUUAAAAACUUUUGCUUAAGAGUAUUUUAACAUCUUGAAUAAAAAUGUAAAUAAAUUUGCUUCUAAUUGCUUGAAAUUGCUUGAAAUUUCUAGGAAACGAAAAUGAAGCUUUAUUCAUAUAAAGUUGUAGUUUAUAAUUUAUCGACCAUCCCUUGAUAAUUGCUAAUGUCGUCAUACGUCUCAUCAAUGAGUAUUAAAGCACUUUUCUUCGAUAUUUCUAGAAUUCGUGACGCUUCUAAUAUUUUGAUAAUGAGUAAUAAUGAGAUUCAUUAUAAACCGACUUACAGAAGUGGCUUUUAAGCCGAAAUAAUUACUUGAAAUAAAGACGCGAUUUCGUUAUUACUAUGCAAGCACUUGGAGUCAUUUACCAGAUGCUAUGUGAGAGUCUGCAAAUAACAAUUACGUAUAAUAAAUGUACCACUUACAGUAUGGAAAAUAUUAAUAUACAGUAUGGAAAAUAAAUAUUUCUUAAAACAAUUAUACCACAAUAACUCCGAUUAGACGCUAAUGUCUGAGUAAUUUUUAGAACAACAAAUUUGAAUACAAAUUUGAAUAUCAGUAACUGCGUGUUAUAAUGUAGUCAUUAUAUACUUGUAACCAUAAGAUGCAUGUAACUUUAAAUAGUAAAUAGUUCAGUUGUCUAUUACAUAACAUGAUCUGAAAUAAAUUACAAGAUGUGAACGAAAACAAAAAAUAAUAAUAUAUCAUAGCAAGAUACAAAGUAUUAAUUUGACACUUUCCGAUACACGUCAAAGAUUGAACAAAUUUACGUAAAAAGAAAAAAAUUAUAAAUGAUAUUAUGCAAGGUAACUGUUACAGUAUAUGCUACAUGUUUGACAUUAUAAAAGCGAAAGGUGAAUGUAAAGAUAAAGUCAUGGUCAUAAUGAUAAAUACAUUACUUCAUGUCUCUAGUUUAACAGGUUUUAAACCUGUUCGUAACAGUUUUCAUAAAGUAUCAUUCGUCUAAAAAUGGCCCAAAACAUUCAAGAAUGAUAAAAAGUCAUCGCCCUAUGCAUGUUGACAUUUUUAAUCUCUGAGCAUCCAUGUGAAAGUUCGCCAAUAAGAAAAUCCUAAUUCCCCUUAUAUAUCCUUAUUCGCGUAUACUAUCCUCAUCACGCUACCAAUUAUUCUCACGUUUCAGUAUGCCCGAUUUCGUAAUCGUUCUUAUCGCGUGUUGCCCCGGCUAUCGGGAAAUCGCGAAUUAACACGAACCACCACGAAGCGCGUCCUCGGUCGUUCCUCGACAGAAAUCGUCAAUUUCCGUCGAGUUCCGGCUCUAGCACGAGGCGUCGGUUUCUGUCUCAACGAAACGAAUCUUCAAAUACUCGUCGAACGUGGUGCAGACAACACACGAAGGUAAUACGUAAUUGCGUCCAAUCUGAAGUAUCUGUCACUUGUCACUUGCCAAAGAAAUUCGUUCAUAUAUCCCAACAUUGUAGCCAUGUGUACACGAACGUGGCUGUUCUGCAGAACGAUCACCGCCAUGACACACAAUUCCCCGUUCCCGCGGUCAAACACUCCGAAACGAACAUUUCACGAUCUCACUAACACACGCGCGACAUCCAGCGGGAUCUUUUUGGCAGCCGGCAACAGGUCGCGGUAGUCGCUAUCCCGAACUCGUGACACGCGUCGUCGUGUUAUUGUUUAUUGUUCGGUCCACGACGGAAUUGUAGCGUCGCGUCGGUAGUGUCGGGGUCUUGCCGCUACUCUAUUUCAGUCCUCUCAGGUAGGAGAGCAGAGACAAACGUAGUCUGGCUCGGACGAAUGCUUGGAGACACUAUUAACAAAGAAUAAGAACCACUCUGUAGACUGAAAGAGAGAAAAAGAAAUAGGGACGACGGUGAGAAACAGAGAAAGAAUGAGCGUAAAGGAGAGAAGAAACACGAGACUGAAGCCAACGGCUACCAUUAUAAAUAGUUGCCAUCCACUAGCGAUGGGAGUGAUACUCUUUCGUCCACCAGGUGGAACAACUGUACAUAGCGCCAAUUUUAUUUUUUUGAAAAAUUAUUAUAAUGUUACAAUUAUAAUAAAUAUAAAAAAUAAAUGAAAUAUCAAGUUUGAAGCAAGUAGCUUGAAAGAUCAAUUCUGUAGUAUAGGUGUAGUUUGUUUGAAAUUGUAUCGUUUCCAUCACUAUCGGCUGAGUAAACUAGAGUAAGAUGAACGAAAGCGAGAAAGAGAGAUAGAACACAUCAACGGAAGUAUGUACGUGAGAAAAACAGAAACAGACAGUGGUCUCUCGUUUGCUCUACCUCUUAUGUUUUGCGUCAUUGCACCGUCACUGAAGUCUGUCUUGAAUUUUAACGAACUGCGGUCCUAACAUGUAAAUUUGCACGAUUUCCUUUCGACGAACGACGAUCGCCAAUUUUGUAGUCUCACUGAAGUAAUUGCACUGAACUAUGAUAUGAGAAAUAUUGGGUAGAUAAUACAUACAUAGUAACAAAUUAGGAAAUUUAUUAAUCAAUUUCAUAAUUAACGUUAACAAAAUCAAAUGUCAAUGAGUAUGUCUUCAUUAAAAGCCAUGUUUAUGAGCAACAUAAUCCAUGUUUAUCAAACCAAAAGGACUAUUAUAAUUAUUAGUUUCCGGUUGAUUUACAAAGCGAACAGGCUUUUUCACAAAAAUAUAAAAUUACCAGCAAAUUACCUCAAAAUAGAUCUCCAAAACAAUCCAUUUUCAGAAUGUUUUUGUAUCUUGAAUCAAUUUGUUGACACAUAGUUAAAUGUAAACAAUUUCCAAAUUAUAGAAAUAAUUAUUUGAUACUUUUCUCAGCUUGAGUUCUCAUAUAGUAUAUCAAAAUAUUUCUUUUAAAGCCCGAACUUCGUGGCGUACCAAAAUUCGUACGACAACUAUCAUUACACGCAGAUUCCGUAUUGUUUAUUUUAAGGGCGUUUGUUGGCAGCACUUGGGUGUUUUAUACCUGUUUAUAAGUUUUGGCGCGAAUCCGAGGCGCCAUGACGAUUGUUGGAUACGUGUUUACGAAAGUGUCAUAAAUCGAUUAAUAUAUUUCUGUUUUACUCGAUGCUUAUGUUGAUAUGUUUUUAAUAAAUAAAACAACGUGCUAUCGAUAAAGUACGAGUGUCAUCAAUAAAAACAUUGUGACUUAUCUGCAGUGUAUAUGUGCUAAUAAUUAUAUUCAUGAAGAACGCAUUGUACUCGUAAUAAAGGAAUACUCGAAGAAAAGGUCAAGUAAGUACGAUGAAGGGAGAUCAAGAGAAGAAAAACUGGCAUUACGAUAAUUUCCAUGAUUAAGCCAUUAAUCUCAUCCGUAUCCGUAUUUCUCUACGAGACAGGAAGUAAGGUUAGUGGAAUGCAAGGGCGCCGACGAAAGUUUUUUGACUCCCAUGAUGUACAUAUGUAAGUAGUAGGAACUUUAAAGGGGAAAUUUCUUUGCUUUCGCGAACCACACAGAUUGCACGCUAUGUAUUUUGCUACAUUCUUUUUCAUAAUUUCCGAAUUUAUUGCUAAUAAAAUUUGCCAGUAAAAGUAAGAAAAAAAUCCAGUAAUAAUCAAUGUGUUAAUGUCUUGAAUAAUAAAGAGUUGAAUAAUAAAAACACUAUUGAAGUCUUGAAUUCGGAACAGUUUUUUCCAUAGGCCUCUUAAUUUACAAUCGUGAUUACAAGUGUCAGUGUGCGUAACAAAUCAAGGUCUUCUCCUGGGGUAGGAAAGUUUCCUCGCGGAAAUCGUACACGAUAAACCUCUUCUUUUUUUAUUUUGAUAAUGUGUGUGCGUGUAUUUUUUGUACAAUAUAAUAAUAAUAAUUGUAGUAGUAAUAGAAGUAGUAGAGUAAUAGUAAUAGAAGUAGUAGUGGUAGGACAGCCGAGAGGUUGUAACAGCGUGUUUUAUCUCACCGGAAUUCUCACCGUUAUAGGUUAGACUUUUUCACGGAAAAAUAUAACGUGUAGACCGUUCGUCUUUCUUUCUUGAACCGUCUUCGUACGCUUACUCCGAUGUCGCAAUAAAAGUUCAAAACAAAAAGCUACCUAUAACGACAAGAUUCUGGGAAAAU